rnacentral:rRNA from 1 species
GAUUAUGGCUCAGGAUGAACGCUAGCGGCAGGCCUAAUACAUGCAAGUCGAACGGGAUAGGCUCCUUCGGGGGCCUUGAGAGUGGCGCACGGGUGCGCAACGCGUAUGCAACCAACCCCCGACGGGCGGAUAGCCGGUGGAAACGCCGGAUAAUACGCCAUGGUUCCGUGGGAGGGCAUCCUCCUGUGGAUAAAGCCGAGAGGCGGUCGGGGACGGGCAUGCGUCCCAUUAGGUAGUCGGCGGGGUGACGGCCCACCGAGCCCGUGAUGGUAGGGGAUCUGAGAGGACGGUCCCCCACACUGGUACUGAGACACGGACCAGACUCCUGCGGGAGGCAGCAGUAAGGGAUAUUGGUCAAUGGUCGGAAGACUGAACCAGCCAUGCCGCGUGAGGGAAUGAGGCCCUACGGGUCGUGAACCUCUUUUAUUCGGGGACAAGGACUUCCACGAGAUGGGAGUUUGAGGGUACCGAAGGAAUAAGCGUCGGCUAACUCCGUGCCAGCCGCGGC